rnacentral:tRNA from 1 species
GGGAAGUUGGCUCAGUGGUAGAGUGUUUGUCUUGCAUGCAUAAGGCUGUGAGUUUGAUUUCUCA